UAUUGUUGCAGAGACAAAUCAGUUUCAGGUACAUUAAUAUAAAUUAUUAUCAUUAUUAUUACUAUUUUAAAUACCAGUAUAUAUGAAGUUAAAGUUAAACAUAAAAGUAGUUUGUUAAGAAAGGCAUAUCUCAUUGAAUGUGUAACGCUUAACAACUAUUGGGAGCCCUCUCUUAACAAACUUUUACAUCUUAAUUGUCAUUCUGAUAUUUUUACUUCUUUCCCUCAUCUUUAUUUAUGGCAUUCCAUCUUAACAGUCAAGCGUUCAAGCAAUUCUUUGGUUUUCAAAAAUGUAAUAGGUCAUACAGUGUUUUAAAAUACUGUAGUUAUGGUUCUAUUCCUCUUUAGGCAGUUAUUCACUUUAUUUACAUAAAGGCUUGCAUGAGAGCAACCAUUACACUGUAGAUAGCAGAUGAGAUUUUCAUAAUAAAAUUAGCUGGGCCUAGCCUAUAUGGCUAUCUGCUACUCUACAUAUUGAAAUAUAUUUAUAAAAAGAUAUAAACUCAACCAUCUUGCAGUAGUCCUGAAAUUGUAAUAAAGAUGAGGACAUCUGUGACAUCUGGAUUUGAAAUUGGCUUCUCUGCCUAUAUCUGGUCUACCUUAAGCCUGAUUGCAAAACCUAUUAAGGUGGUGAGGUUGAUGGCGAGUGGUGUUACAGAGGAUCUGACAACGAUGUUUGCUGCACAUAGUGACACCUAUCAGCACUGACUUCAGUUUGAAUGUUGACGAAAAUGCAGAGAAAACACGCAAAUAUUAUGAAUGCAAGAGUGAUGAAGUCUUCCCAAAUUUCGGGGAAUACAGAAAUGAUGUGGAGAUGGGCUGGUCACAUAACAAGAAUGCAAGCUAAUGGACAAAGAGACUUACAGACUGGCAACCUUGGUCAGGGAAAAGCAGGAGAGGAAGGCAAAAAAGAAGAUGGAGUAAUGAAAUACCACAUCUGUAUGAAAAUAGCAACAUGGAACAGAGCAACAAGACAGACAGAAAGAAAACUUGAAAAAUUUCUUCUGGAGAGUUACAUCCAGCAGUGGAUGAACACAGCCUAAACACAUUGCUGCUUAUGGUAUAUUUUAAUGACAUAUUAAUUAAUAAUCUUGCAUAUAUCAUUUUGUCAUCCCUUUAGAAAAACAAAAUUAUGUGCAGUUUUUAAAGAAAGGUAAUUGGUUUUGAGAGUUCGUAUUUAUUCGUAUUUUUAUAUUUAUUUUCAAUCAAAUCGCUAUGCUCCAUUCUAUUCUGUGUUGACUAGUAGUUCGUGGUAUUUGUUC